AACGGCAGCACGGGUGCUUGCACCUGGUGGCGAGUGGCGAACGGGUGAGUAAUACAUCGGAACAUGUCCUGUAGUGGGGGAUAGCCCGGCGAAAGCCGGAUUAAUACCGCAUACGAUCUACGGAUGAAAGCGGGGGACCUUCGGGCCUCGCGCUAUAGGGUUGGCCGAUGGCUGAUUAGCUAGUUGGUGGGGUAAAGGCCUACCAAGGCGACGAUCAGUAGCUGGUCUGAGAGGACGACCAGCCACACUGGGACUGAGGACACGGCCCAGACUCCUACGGGAGGCAGCAGUGGGGAAUUUUGGACAAUGGGCGAAAGCCUGAUCCAGCAAUGCCGCGUGUGUGAAGAAGGCCUUCGGGUUGUAAAGCACUUUUGUCCGGAAAGAAAUCCUUGGCUCUAAUACAGUCGGGGGAUGACGGUACCGGAAGAAUAAGCACCGGCUAACUACGUGCCAGCAGCCGCGGUAAUACGUAGGGUGCGAGCGUUAAUCGGAAUUACUGGGCGUAAAGCGUGCGCAGGCGGUUUGCUAAGACCGAUGUGAAAUCCCCGGGCUCAACCUGGGAACUGCAUUGGUGACUGGCAGGCUAGAGUAUGGCAGAGGGGGGGUAGAAUUCCACGUGUAGCAGUGAAAUGCGUAGAGAUGUGGAGGAAUACCGAUGGCGAAGGCAGCCCCCUGGGCCAAUACUGACGCUCAUGCACGAAAGCGUGGGGAGCAAACAGGAUUAGAUACCCUGGUAGUCCACGCCCUAAACGAUGUCAACUAGUUGUUGGGGAUUCAUUUCCUUAGUAACGUAGCUAACGCGUGAAGUUGACCGCCUGGGGAGUACGGUCGCAAGAUUAAAACUCAAAGGAAUUGACGGGGACCCGCACAAGCGGUGGAUGGAUGUGGAUUAAUUCGAUGCAACGCGAAAAACCUUACCUACCCUUGACAUGGUCGGAAUCCCGCUGAGAGGUGGGAGUGCUCGAAAGAGAACCGGCGCACAGGUGCUGCAUGGCUGUCGUCAGCUCGUGUCGUGAGAUGUUGGGUUAAGUCCCGCAACGAGCGCAACCCUUGUCCUUAGUUGCUACGCAAGAGCACUCUAAGGAGACUGCCGGUGACAAACCGGAGGAAGGUGGGGAUGACGUCAAGUCCUCAUGGCCCUUAUGGGUAGGGCUUCACACGUCAUACAAUGGUCGGAACAGAGGGUUGCCAACCCGCGAGGGGGAGCUAAUCCCAGAAAACCGAUCGUAGUCCGGAUUGCACUCUGCAACUCGAGUGCAUGAAGCUGGAAUCGCUAGUAAUCGCGGAUCAGCAUGCCGCGGUGAAUACGUUCCCGGGUCUUGUACACACCGCCCGUCACACCAUGGGAGUGGGUUUUACCAGAAGUGGCUAGUCUAACCGCA
rnacentral:rRNA from 1 species